GAUGAACGCUGGCGGCGUGCCUAAUACAUGCAGGUCGAGCGAACAGACGAGGAGCUUGCUCCUCUGACGUUAGCGGCGGACGGGUGAGUAACACGUGGAUAACCUACCUAUAAGACUGGGAUAACAUCGGGAAACCGGAGCUAAUACCGGAUAAUAUAUUGAACCGCAUGGUUCAAUAGUGAAAGACGGUUUUGCUGUCACUAAUAGAUGGAUCCGCGCCGCAUUAGCUAGUUGGUAAGGUAACGGCUUACCAAGGCAACGAUGCUUAGCCGACCUGAGAGGGUGGUCGGCCACCCUGGAACUGAGACACGGUCCAGACUCCUACGGGAGGCAGCAGUAGGGAAUCUUCCGCAAUGGGCGAAAGCCUGACGGAGCACCGCCGCGUGAGUGAUGAAGGUCUUCGGAUCGUAAAACUCUGUUGUUAGGGAAGAACAAAUGUGUAAGUAACUAUGCACGUCUUGACGGUACCUAAUCAGAAAGCCACGGCUAACUACGUG
rnacentral:rRNA from 1 species